AGGCUUACAUGCAAGUCGAGCGCCCCGCAAGGGGAGCGGCAGACGGGUGAGUAACGCGUGGGAACGUACCCUUUACUACGGAAUAACGCAGGGAAACUUGUGCUAAUACCGUAUGUGCCCUUCGGGGGGGGAAAGAUUUAUCGCCGAAAGAUCGGCCCGCGUCUGAUUAGCUAGUUGGUGAGGUAACGGUUCACCAAGGCGACGAUCAGUAGCUGGUCUGAGAGGAUGAUCAGCCACAUUGGGACUGAGACACGGUCCAAACUCCUACGGGAGGCAGCAGUGGGGAAUAUUGGACAAUGGGCGCAAGCCUGAUCCAGCCAUGCCGCGUGAGUGAUGAAGG
rnacentral:rRNA from 1 species